rnacentral:lncRNA from 1 species
GAGAGUUCAGUGAUAAAAAAAUAUCAGAAAACCCAAAAAAUAAGAAGUUGCAUAAAACUUUACUGUUCUGUUGAUUUCUUUCGUUGGCUCUUGAAAUUUUAAGUCCAUAAAUACUUUCUAGUUCAUUUAAGAAUACAAAUGUCAAUUGAUAUGGGGUGUGAACAUAGAUCAAAAUCGAGUUCUGGGGGUAUGAUGUACAUCACUCGUUUGGAAUCAUUCUUUUACUUAUUAUUGUUUAAAUCUGGCCUUUGUUUGUGCUACUGUGAUUGCUGUUAACUGUUGCCCUCAUCUCUGCAUUGCUCUUUUCUUAUCUCAGGUAUUAUUCAGCC